AUCGAACGCUGGCGGCAUGCUUUAGACAUGCAAGUCGAACGGUAACAGGCCGCAAGGUGCUGACGAGUGGCGAACGGGUGAGGAAUGCAGCGGAACGUGCCCAGCCGUGGGGGAUAACUGCUCGAAAGAGCAGCUAAUACCGCAUACGAUCUAUGGAUGAAAGCGGGGGAGGGUAAGACCUCGGGGGAUCGGAGCGGCCGAUCUCAGAUUGGGUGGUUGGUGGGGUAAAGGCUCACUAAGCCAAAGAUCUGUAGCUGGUCUGAGAGGACGAGAAGCCACACUGGGACUGAGACACGGCCCAGACUCCUACGGGAGGCAGCAGGGGGAAAUUUUGGACAAUGGGGGCAACCCUGAUCCAGCAAUGCCGCGUGGAGGAAGAAGGCCUUCGGGUUGUAAACUGCUUUUGUACGGAACGAAACGGUCUGGGUUAAUACCCUGGGCUAAUGACGGUACCGUAAGAAUAAGCACCGGCUAACUACGUGCCAGCCGCCGCCGUAACAC
rnacentral:rRNA from 1 species